AUACUAGCAUUUCCCUAGUGUGGCUCCUCUGCCCUCACCCCUGCUGGCCCCACUCCAUUCCAUUCCUGCCCCCCACCUCCAUCCCACCAACUGCCACUUUACCCACCAUUCCCCCAUCCGCUCUCCAUGCCCCUAUUCCUGAAGCCCUCUGGUGCUUGUGUCCUGAGAUCCUGAGGUUGUCCUUGUGUUUGCUCCUGUCCUAGGCAGACACCUGAAUCUGGUUCUUCUUGUGCCCUACUUCUGAGGACUGCACACCCAGACCAAGUGCCUUCAUGUUCUGACAGCCAGACUCUGACCAGGACCACCAGUCUUCACAGAGGUAGAGGAGAGAGCUGACUACAAACCUGCCCUACUGUGCACCUUGGUCAAGGUUCUUCCACCCUUAAUUUGCUGCCUUUGGCUCCUUGCUGUCCGGCUCUUCCACACAUGAUAGGCAUUCAGGUUGCUUUGUGUCUUCUUUGCUCUCUCAGGAACUCUUUCCUCUUGGCCUCGUACGUCUCUUGCAGGCUGAAGGGCUGGCUGUCGCCAUCACUGACCUGGAAGCCCAUCUCCUCCAGCUUGCAGCGCCGGUAGAGCUCCUAGUGCCGACUGUGGGUCUGCUCGCGGAGGUCCUCCAUGUUCACCCGGAUCAGCAUCUCCUGGAGCUUCACGAAGUUGCAGUGGUUCUCGUUCUCCACCUGCACCACUCCUCAAGGGUACUGCCGCGCUCGGACCAGCUUGUUGCCCACCUUCACCUCCUCGGUGCUGCCCACCACAGCGAAGGGCAGGUGUGCGUUCAUGACUGCGUUAAUCUCUGCGACGGCCUUGUCCUCAGUGGGAAACUGGUAGAUCUGGACCCCGUUGCUGACCAACUCGCCCAUGAUCUUGAUCUUGAACUUGUGGAGCUCGCUUUUGGAGAUAGUGUCAGCCUUGGCAGUGAUGGGAAUUAUGUUCACCUUGCUGUCCAGCUUCUUCAUGGUAACCAGGUCCAAGGACUUCAGGGAGUGCCCAGUGGGCGUGAUGAAGUAGAGGCACACAUGGAUCCUUGUGUCAUGGUAGUCGAAGAGCGAGCGGCGGAUCUUCAGCUCCUCCUGCAGAUAGUUUUCAAACUGUGCAUCGAUGUAGUCGACUAUGGACCUGUCGUCCUUGUUGAUCUGGUCCCCGAAGCCCACAGCGUCCACAAUGGUCAGCCUGAGGUGCACGUUGCUCUCCUGGAGGUCGUAAGUCUGAGGCCGCAGGCGCACGCACCCCUCGUGGUGACUGGCUUCCUCAGUCUCAAAGGUGGUGUUGAAGAGCGUGUUCAUCAGUGUGGACUUGCCAAUGCCUGUCUCGCCCACACAGAGGAUGUUGAAGCUGAAGCCCUGAGUGAUGGACUUGCUGACCAGCUGGUCAGGGAGGCUGUCAAAGCCCACAUGGCCACCCAGGGAGAGGCUCCAGGGCUCGGACUCCAUACUCGAGGGCCACUCCAGCUCGGUGGCCACCAUGCUGCUCGGGCACAGCGGGCCGGGACGAGCCGUGGGGGACGCGCUCGCCGGCGCCGCACUGAAUAGAUCUCUAACUUUAUAAAUUUAGUUAAAAUGAAAAAGUAUUUUUAC
rnacentral:lncRNA from 1 species